AUUGAACGCUGGCGGCAUGCCUUACACAUGCAAGUCGAACGCCCUAGCAAUAGGGAGUGGCAGACGGGUGAGUAACACGUGGGAACGUGCCCUUCGGUUCGGAAUAACUCAGGGAAACUUGAGCUAAUACCGGAUACGUGCGAGAGCAGAAAGAUUUAUCGCCGAAGGAUCGGCCCGCGUCCGAUUAGCUAGUUGGUGAGGUAAUGGCUCACCAAGGCGACGAUCGGUAGCUGGUCUGAGAGGAUGACCAGCCACACUGGGACUGAGACACGGCCCAGACUCCUACGGGAGGCAGCAGUGGGGAAUAUUGGACAAUGGGCGCAAGCCUGAUCCAGCCAUGCCGCGUGAGUGAUGAAGGCCCUAGGGUUGUAAAGUUCUUUCGCCAGGGACGAUAAUGACGGUACCUGGAUAAGAAGCCCCGGCUAACUUCGUGCCAGCAGCCGCGGUAA
rnacentral:rRNA from 1 species